rnacentral:rRNA from 7 species
UAGGGAAUCUUGCGCAAUGGGCGAAAGCCUGACGCAGCCAUGCCGCGUGAAUGAUGAAGGUCUUAGGAUUGUAAAAUUCUUUCACCGGGGACGAUAAUGACGGUACCCGGAGAAGAAGCCCCGGCUAACUUCGUGCCAGCAGCCGCGGUAAUACGAAGGGGGCUAGCGUUGCUCGGAAUUACUGGGCGUAAAGGGAGCGUAGGCGGAUAGUUUAGUCAGAGGUGAAAGCCCAGGGCUCAACCUUGGAAUUGCCUUUGAUACUGGCUAUCUUGAGUAUGGAAGAGGUAUGUGGAACUCCGAGUGUAGAGGUGAAAUUCGUAGAUAUUCGGAAGAACACCAGUGGCGAAGGCGACAUACUGGUCCAUUACUGACGCUGAGGCUCGAAAGCGUGGGGAGCAAACAGG